UACGGAGGGUGCAAGCGUUAUCCGGAUUCAUUGGGCGUAAAGAGCGUGUAGGCGGCCGGGUAAGUCCGGUGUGAAAACUCGAGGCUUAACCUCGAGAUGUCAUCGGAAACUAUUCGGCUAGAGUCCGGAAGAGGAGAGUGGAAUUCCUGGUGUAGCGGUGAAAUGCGCAGAUAUCAGGAAGAACACCCAUGGCGAAAGCAGCUCUCUGGGACGGUACUGACGCUGAGACGCGAAAGCGUGGGGAGCGAACAGG
rnacentral:rRNA from 1 species